rnacentral:lncRNA from 1 species
UUUCUUUUUCUUUUAAUUUAAUUGGUUUUUGCUGUGUUUUUCUUUUUGGAGUGGUUCUGUGGCCUUGCCACUUGGGAAAUCAUCUUCAUUUCCUCUCCCAAGUGGCUCAUCAUUCUCAAAACCUUGUCAAGAUCAUGUCACUUCACUGCUUGACCAAACCCUAAUUUCUUUUUCUCAGGAAUAUUCCUUUUUCUAUUAAGGGAAUAACCCUGUCUGCCCUAGGUUGUGAAGCAACCUAUAUUUAUGUCCAUCCAAAAAUUCCCAAAUAAUUCUCAUAAUUACUUUGGGUCAUACGUUGCUCAAAUGUGCCCAAACUUUCCUAUCCUAGCCCAAGAAUAAUUCCCCAAUAAUUAUUCUUCCUUUAUGUCCAGAGUGGCACUUUGUGAAGGAAGUGUCAUUUAUCUUAUCUUGUUUGCUCCCAAACUUGUUGGGCAUUCUUUUAUGUCGAAAUAAUUGCCACAUGGAAAAAUUCAACUUUAUUUGCCAAGCCAAUCUUCCUCAGUGAUGUUUCAAAGUUUCUGUCAAACAGAAGCCACUGUGAAGGAAGUACUAGCUAUCCAAAUGAGCUGAAAUUUUUCAUGCCUCUUCUUGUGCUUAUAUUAUCUCACUCCUACAAAUUUCAUCCCCAUCCAAUCAUCUAUGUGAGCACAGGAACAAAUCUUUGCUUCUGGUAAAAUUUUCAGGUUGUGAAGUAAGUGCAUUUUAUAUUGCUUCAAAAAUCCUGAUAAAUUACCAGAUCAUGAUCCUACCUAUAUAACAUCUCUCCACCCAAUUUGGCACCAUUUCACUUAGCUAAUAUUUCUCUAAAAUUAUUGCAAGUUUCUGGUCAGUGAAGAUAGCUGUGAAGGAAGUACCAUUUUGGUGAAUCCAAUUGGUAUGAAUUUUUUUACAGCAUCAUUGUAUGACCAAAUAACUAAGCCUUGCCAAAUUUGAGCUCAAGUGGUUACUCCAUGUGAGUGCACCUUCCUGAUCUUGAUUCUGGACUAAAUAUGCAGUUGUGAAGCAACUAUGGUGUAUAUUGGUCCAAAUCAUCUCAAAAUUAAUAGGAUGAUAGUCCUUCCUAAGCUGAUCACCUCAGACAAACUCUCUGGCUCCAAUUCCCUUCCUGUUGAUCAACAGUUCUCGGCCUAGUUUACUGCAGUAAUCUUCAGACGAUGAUUACCAUUUAACCACUGCGUAUUUAACCAAGUUACCACCUCAGUUGCAACCUACCCAUGAAGGACUCCACCCCAGACAGCGUUUGGCUUAGCUUGUGGCACUGUGGGCACCAGUGCACGCGGUGAUCACGAGCUUUGGCAUGCAAUGCGCGUGCUCUGCUGGCGUUUGCCGCGUCCAGGGCGUCUUCUAGCUCCGGCCCGUCUCCCUCUCAUCGUCUUCGCGCUCGUAAGUGUGUCUAACAGUUUUACUGCGUCGUCGCCGUCCUCCUGGAGCCAUCUCCCCUCCGUAAGCCCUCCAUCCACUCUCGUCGCCGCGUGCCCACGGACGUGCUGUUGCCGACCGUCGUUUCCCUCCUCGGUGUCCUCUUCCUCUUCUUGUCCACGAGCUCCGCUCGUCUCCAUGACCUCUGCGGCUCGUCCGCACCCCCCUUGUAGCGUUCCCGCGCCUCCCCGUGCUCGCUGCGCGUCACCAGAGCUUUGGCCGAGCUUGAGCGGCGGCAACCGGCUCGACACCUCGCCCCAUGCCUAUUUAAGCAGCCCCGGACCGCGUCCCUCCUCAUCCACAACCACACCUUCCUCCUAGACCCCGCCCUAGCCUCUCAAGCGAGCUUGCGAAGCUCUCUUCGCUGGAAAUCACUACCAUGGCCGCCGUCUCUGCUCCGCUCCGAUUCCGGUGAUCCCAAGCCCCAUUCUCUCUUCGACCACCUCUAGUCGAUCACCCAACCACCCAAGCCUCCCCCGCAGCUCUCCGUUCAUCGCCGGAGUCGCAAUGGCCUCGUCCACAAAUUCCGGCCGAAGCCCCGUCCGCUGCAGCUGCGGCUCUCCUCGACGCCGACCUCCCCUGGAUGUCUGGAUGGUCCAGGGUGGCGCGGCUCGGCCUGCUAAUCACGCCGGUAGGCGGUAAAGUGCGGGAGGUGGACGAAGUCACCGGCGGUCAUCGUUGGGGCGGCUGGCCUCGUGUCUGCCUCAGCGCGUCGUCGAGGGAAGAAGAAGGAGGCGCGGGAGGAGAGAGAGCGCGGUGGGACCCCCUCAUAAGCCACCCGGCGUUACCCCGCCCUGCCCACGUGGAUAAGUGGCCGACCCCACCCAUAAGUCUCACAUCGCUUACCAGCCCCGGGCCCGCGUGUUUUAAGUGAAAACGUAUUUCUGUGAAUACGCUUUCGCCUCUCGAAAACACAUUCCUUUCUUCUUCGGCCCGAAGUACGCUUUCUCUUUCUGAAAGCACAUUUCUCUAAAGACGUUUUCUGUUUUUCUGUCCAGGCCCAGAUUGUGAAGUUUUUCUUUGCAAAUAGGUCCCUGGCAGAAAACACUUGAUAACUUUUUGUUCACAACUCCGAAUGAGAAGAUUCCAAAGCCCACGUCUUCGUCUCAUCGAGCCUGUUCUGUUGGUUUCAUUUUCGCCAUGGUUUGACACUAUGAAAAUGACCAUUUUUCCCUUGCCUGUAAACAGCCCCUCCGAGAGAGAACUAUUUCCGGCGAUUCAUUCCGCGAGCUUCUCGCACUUUCUCCCGGUGAAUUCUUCCAUCCCAGGCAAGCCACAACCACCAUUUGCAUGAUAGCCAUGCAGUAGCAUUGGUUUUCAACUUGAAUCUUUAAUUACUGUAUGCUUGCUUUGCUACUGCUAUCGUUAUUUCGGUUAUGUUUAUGGAUCAGUGGUUACCGUCUUACUAUGUUUUCUUACACCCUGUUAUCAUGUUCUACCUGCUAGUAUUACUUUCAUAUUGUCCAUGCUUGAUAAUAGUACAUGUUGGGUUGGUCAUGUUCUUCGAUGCAUGACCAACGUCGGUUACCGAGUACCGUUGAUAUGCAUUGUUCCUUUGCUAUUAAUUGGUUAAGUGUUUACUCGGUAAUGUGAUUGGUGUGUUCUUGCAUCGUACUUAUUGUUGAUGAUAAUGGUCAUGUAUGCUAUGAGUAGUGUUGUACUUGUAAUAUUCAUACUCGUCAUUAUUAUAUGCUCAGUUGGAUAUGAUUCAUCAUUGAUAUGGUGGAUUGUUAUGUUGCACCCCAUGCUUAUGUUGAUAUCAUACUCAUGCAUUGUAAUCGCAUCAUGUUAUUUUAUCAUGGCUCAACAUAUUUGCAUUCAAGUUUAACCGGAUAAAAUUGAACUUGAACAACUGUUGGCUGAGUCAUGGUGCCACCAUAUCGAGCUGACCAGUGCAACCACGCUUACCUUUAUGGGAAGGUCCUAACUGGGUCUAUUGUCGUGCCUCUCGCAGGUGCCUCCCACUCGGGAAGGUUAUGGGCGCGCGCUACCCUGAUCAGGUAGGCGGACAUAAGCCUUGUGUGCCCGUAGUUGUUCUAUCCGGAUUGUCCCCGUUUGGGACCGUUUUUCCACGACGGUGGUCGUUGGUGCCUUUGGUAGGCACGGGGCCACCCAUGACCUAGCCCAGAGGGGAGUUGGUCGGAGUGGCCGGGAGAGUGUCAUGGCAGUAGGACGGUUUUGUCGGAACGCCGUUGGUCCACCCGAAUGGGAGUGUGAGGCCAUGGGUUCCGUGGUGUGGGUACAGUGUGCUAACCUCUGCAGAGUGUAUACUAAACCUAUCGAUAGCCGUGCCCGCGGAUAAGGGCCCAGUUCGUGUCCGUCACACUAUGCGUCAACAGUAAUAAUAAUGAUGUGUUUAAUAACAACCUAAUUACGAUGAUGAGAUAAAUUGGUUAUGUGAUCCGUGAAUUAUCACCGUUUGGUUACGAGGUAACCCGUGGAGCCCAGAGUGGUUCCGUUUGUGAUCCAUGAAUGAUCACCAUGGUAUCGAGGAUACCGAGUUGUUCGAUAUUCGUGAUGUUUUGCGAGAAUCGCCGGUAAAAAUCAAGCUCCUGGUGGUCAUUUAAUGAUUACUACUGUAUUGUUUAUACCAAGCUUGAUUUGAUCCUGAGACAAUCGUGUGAUGUCCGAGGUUGGUAAGUGCUGCAUGUGAUGGUUACGAGAUAACCCGAGAAGAGUAAGUUGGUGCAUGAUAAUGUCAUCAUGGUGCAUGAUAGUGUCAUCAUGUUUAUAUGUCCAUGCCAUGCUCAUAUUGUUCUAGCUGUAUCAUGUUGUUCAGGCUAUGUUGUUCAGAUAAUAUAAUGUUAAUCCGUGUUUAACCUGUAAUUGCCAUGCUGUUGUAUGUCUUGAAUGCUUCUGGUUAUUGUGAUCUUGCAAGUACAUUCAAUGUACUGACCUGACGUGUCAUGCCAGUUUGCAGGUCAUGCCGGAUUUGAUUGCUUGCUAGUCAUGGUUUCCGUUCGUGCGAGCUAGGAUAAGUGUUCCAGCUAGAGUCCAUGCGGAGUGGAGUUCAUCACCGUCGUCGCUGUUCCGCUGCUAGAAGUGUUUCUGCUACUUCGAGUUGUUCUGCUGCUUGCAUGGAGCAACUGAGGAUGGCGUAGUGUCGCCGUGCCGAUGUUAUUCCUUGUAAUAUCGGAGACCUUGUAUUCAUAUCCGUGUAAUAAUAGAAAGCUGGUUUGUUCUAUGCUAAGCAGUGCCGUAUUCCAGAAGACUUCUCCUCGAUCUCUGGGCUGGAAUACGGGGCGUUCCGGUUUCUCUGAGCCAGGGUGCCACAAGGCUUGGUAUCAGAGCAGGUCUGGCUGUAGGACGCCCUAGUCAGCGCGAGCGAUAGAAACCGGUAGUUUAAAGUCCGUCCUGGUUAUUGCAUUUGGUUGCUGCAUUUCUUUGUUGCAUAGCAUGCAUAUAGCCUUAGUAUUUGUUGCUAACGAGUUAUCUGGUGAGUGUAGCUGGCAUCGGUUCAGAUCCACUAUAGCUCAGCACCUGCAUUUCUCCAGUUUUCUUUUGUUGCUCGUUCUUCGGUGUUUCAUGUCAUUUCUAUCCCAGCAGAGUGAUGCCAAGUGAUCCCGACACCUUUUGUAAAAAUGGUGCUCACGUAUCUCGCCGAUAUCCUCCUUUCAGCCCCGCCUAUCGUUUCGGUGAUGGACAUGCUUCUAUCCCGAAUCGCUCUUUUAUUUUGACGUGUUGGCAACCCUUAAUGAUCUCAGUUAUCAAGAAAGGGAAAUGUCAGCAGCCUCCGUUUUCCCCCGCUAUCCUAUUCCUUGGACGAGUACGGAUAUUUUCCUGUCCGCUUGAUAAUAAUGUGGUUGCGACCUAUGUGUCCCACUACAGGUUUAUCGAGUGCGUCCUCGCCUCCGAGCUAGUCUAGGUUGCUACCUGGCUAAGCUAGCACUUGGUGUAGCGUUGUUUACACCAAUUCUUCCACACAUUUAUUCGUCCUUGUGCACACCGUCACAGCAUGCUAGAUCGUAGAACCAGAGAUCCCGCGAGAUUUGUGUGCUUAAGUAGGCAUGCAUAUUGUGUGACUAGCAGUAAUAUGUGACAUUGAUUGUGUGUGAAUUGAUUGUUGUUGUGUGCUUUUGUUUAGUUGAGUUUUCUUUUGCUUCUUUCUUUUAGGCCCCGAUGUUACAUUAUUUUUCCCCUAUAAAGAGUUGCUCAUCAACCAACACCGGACUCAAAGAAGUAACAAGGAGUUUAAAUAUUUGGAAAAUUAGCUAAACAGAAUGGAAUUCUCAGCCCACUACAGUGAAAUGGGGAAUAUCCGAUUUUGAGACUGAUAAUCAAUUUUGCAUUAAUGGGCACUCCUCACAACAGUACUGAUAACAAAAGUCUACAUCAGUACCAAAUCCUCACAGCAGUAAUGAUCAAGUCAGCAGCAAGACAACUCAAGUACAAGAGCAAUAGUAUAUUUUCAGUCAAAGGUAUGGAUCAUAUACACAAUUUUGGCUCAGCAAUGCAUGAUGCUUGAGAUAUAUUAUCAUCCAAAAUAAAGUCAGAAGGUGACAUGCUCAAGGAAGACAGUCAAUCAAAUUUCCUCAUGCAAAUAAUCAGCCACCGAAUAUUAUGGGUGUGUGUGUGUGUGUGGAUUUCUGUCUGCAUAUCAUAGUAUGAAGUUUGAAUAUGAGAAACUCAGUCUUCUUCCACACGUUAUCGGAAGAAAUUUAUGAUGCAAGGCUCCUCGAUUUUCCUCAACAUGAUAUGUGAACAAUUUCUGGUCCAAAAGAUACCCAGUCUUUCUCAACAAGAUACCUCAGUAAAAGCUUCUGACAGACAAAAAUUAAUUUUUCUCAACAAGCAAAUCCGAGGAAAAGCUUCUCAAGUACGGAACUCAAGCUUCUCCAGCACAAUAAUCAGACCAAGCUUCGUGUGUAAGCUAUAGAGCCUUCUUCUGCACGAUACCCAGGCAAAAGAUUUGAGCAAAAGUUAACAAGUCUUCCUCAGCAAGCUACUCGGAUGGCUUCUCUUGUAAGCCAAUUAGUCCGCGUCAGUAGCACACUAUUGCACCGCCCUCAGAGAUUAUGCGGCGAGUUGGCAAUAUAUGACAGUGCUUCUCAAGAGUCAGAUCAGCAAUAAUUUUGGUCAGAAGCACAAAUCAGUCAAAACACAUGCCUACCUCAAGGAUCAAGUGCUCGGUUGCAUAUGAUUCUUACGCAUAUGGUGAGCGUGCAUCCCCAAUAAUAUUAGUCACUCAUAUGAGGUACAGCAAGGAUCCAACAGAUAUACCUAAGGAAAGUAUGGAUCCCACAACCUCAUGAAUCAUGCAAAUGAAGAUAAGCAGAGGUACAUCUCAUAAAUUACAAAGAUCGACAAGAUAUGGAUAAGACAUUACAUAAUCAACAGUCUUGACAGUGGCCACCAAGGCCAAUAUUCCCGCACUGACAAGGAGAUCUCAUGAACUCUUGUCACCCUCUUUUAUGGUUGGCCUCAACAAUGAGCUCUGUACAGCUACAAGCCCCGAGAAUACGUCAUAUACGUGCGGAACCCAAGCACCAGGGAUAAUGAAAAAAAUGUUGCACUAGCCGCGACCAUGGUCAUGCGAAGAAUCAAGGAUAUAUGUGGCCAACCUAUUUCAGUAAGAUAUCCUGACAAAGAAAAUCAUGACCAUCAAAAGGAUGAGGUUGAUAGCAACGGUAUGAUGAUUUUUGCAUGACCAUCAGGGUCCGGAUAACCAAAUCAGUUAGUGGCCAGAUUACAUAUGGAGCCACAAAGGCAUGCCCUCAGUGAAUUACUCUGCUCUACAAGGACUUCUUAUCCAGCUGACCCACUUAAAAAAAUGGUUAGUGCGGAAUAUCCAAAUCUGUUCUGUCAAGUCCAAGAUUCUUUUGCAACCUCAGCAGUUUGACUCCAGCGAUAGUAUAAAGCAUCGCACAGCUUAUUACCACAUCUGGGUAUACCGACAACAUGUGCAAAUAAAAAAUCAAACAAUCAGCUCAGACCAGGUAUAUCCACUUCUGUAACGUAGUACCCGGACAGACUGUCAUGAAAAGUAUCUUCCCACAAGCAUACCUGUCAGGACAGUCUCAAGAUGUUAAUAUUUGAGGUAUGCUACAAUUAUAAGUCUAUACCCUGUUAUAUUUCUCACGACAGAAGGCAGUCAAAUCUUUCGUAGAUAUCCCAUGAUCGAGCCAAAGAAAUAAAUCAAAUAAAUCAGUACCACUUAUGAGCAGUCAGAUCCCGUCAGAAGAUGGCCACGAUUAAUUCUCAGCAUUUGUUGAAACCAGAAGGCCUGCAUUUGUUUGAAGCAACCCCAUGACAAGAGUAAAAAGGUUUUCAUGACCAAAAGAAAAUGUAUGCUCAGAUCCAUUGGAUAUCACCCCGGGUAUGGAGAAUCAACGUCAGUAAAAAGGAAUUGGUAUAUGAGAAAAGACCCGUCAGAAUUUGGGAAAUGUGAAGCAAGCCACCCUAGAGCAAGGUAAGUUAAUCAUCUGCAAUUCUUGGGGAAACAAUAAAUAAAGGAAAUAGGAUACCCGAGUAGGAAACGGUGUCCUAAGGUCAUACUUGUUCCCUGAGCAACCAAAUCUCGAGGAUGAGAUUUCUUUAAGGGGGGAAGGUUUGUAACAGGCUGGUUUUUGGCCCUUUUCUUUUUCUUUUAAUGUAAUUGGUUUUUGCUCUGUUUUUCUUUUUGGAGUGGUUCUGUGGCCUUGCCACCUGGGAAAUCAUCUUCAUUUCCUCUCCCAAGUGGCUCAUCAUUCUCAAAACCUUGUCAAGAUCAUGUCACUUCACUGCUUGACCAAACCCUAAUUUAUUUUUCUCAGGAAUAUUCCUUUUUCUAUUAAGGGAAUAACCCUAUCUGCCUUAGGUUGUGAAGCAACCUAUAUUUCUGUCCAUCCAAAAAUUCCCAAAUAAUUCUCAUAAUUACUUUGGGUCAUAUGUUGCUCAAAUGUGCCCAAACUUUCCUAUCCUAGCGCAAGAAUAUUUCCCUAAUAAUUAUUCUUCCUUUCUGUCCAGAGUAGCACUUUGUGAAGGACGUGUCAUUUAUCUUAUGUUGUUUGCUCCCGAACUUGUUGGGCAUUCGUUCAUGUCCAAAUAAUCGCCACAUGCCAAAAUUCAACUUUAUUUGCCAAGCCAAUCUUCCUCAGUGAUUUUUCAAAGUUUCUGUCAAACAGAAGCCACUGUGAAGGAAGUACUAGCUAGGCGAAUUCAAAUGAGUAGAAAUUUUGCAUGCCUCUUCUUGUGCUCAUAUUAUCUCACUCCUACAAAUUUCAGCCCCAUCCAAUUAUCUAUGUGAGCACAGGAACAAAUCUUUGCUUCUGGUAAAAUUUUCAGGUUGUGAAGCAAGUACGUUGUAUAUUGCUUCAAAAAUCCUGAUAAAUUACCAGAUCAUGCUCCU